AAGCCAUGAUGUGGGCACCUAACCAGCAUAACCUUGAACCUCUCCAACGUUUCUUUUAAUGUUUCUAUUGGUUUCUGCCUGAAACUCAAUAUCUCAUCAAUUUGUUG
rfam:Nicotiana attenuata strain TT chromosome 2, whole genome shotgun sequence.